UCAACAUGAAGUAGAGGAAAAAAGAUCCUGUGGAUAUACGGCUUCGAGAUAACUGAGGGGUCUCCAGACCUAUUUAUAAAAAAUUUUGAGACACCCUUUCCUGGUUGGAGAGGUGGAGCUAACCAAGUAGUUAAUUUUCAACUUGUCCCUGGACAGCUUCUUCAGUGGCUCCACAUUUUGUUGGAGGGCCGGCUAGUUGAUGAUUAUUCUACAUGUGCUUUCCAGGUUCUUUCUCAUCGGGCCCCAGGAACACCAAAGGGUUACAGAAACCACUCUUUUGUAUGCAAGGAGAGGUUUCUUAUCAUUUCUUCAUACGUUCUUUGAAUUUGAAUAGCUGUAUAUUUGAAUACUGAUAGCUAAGAAUUGCUGUCAUUAACAGCUGCAAUUCUGAGAACCGGUGACUGCUCAGAUCAAGGAAUUCACAGAAAUCUAGUAGAUAUGCAAGGCUUGCCGGGAGAACAGGAAGGGAAAUGUCCUCCUGCAGAAGAGUAUUUUAGCUCUUAGCAUGUCAUACAGUACCACUGCAGCCUCAAGUGGGAAUUCAAGGCCUUUUCCUCCAUCCUCGCUCAUGAAAAUUAGGAGCAUCUUCGUUGAAUGAAAUGGAGUUUACUCGGCAUAAACCAGAGCAUAGGAUGUGAUCAAGGACUUUAUCCAUGGGAAAGAAAAUGAUUCCUACAGAGUUCUUACAGCAAAUGCUUUCAGUUCUUCUCACAGAAGAGUUACUUCUGUGCCCCGAUCACAUCAUCUGUGUUCUUCGUGCCUUUGUUUCUCUGUUCUCAUGCUCAGCAGUGAGUACGAUUAUGAAUGCCUGUCACUAGUUUAAACAAACGCUUUGUUUGGCAAUCUUUGUUUUCCUGCUGCUGAUGCAGCUGCAAAGUUGUGUGCACAGUGUGUUAAUUUUUUACCUUUGAUGCUAUGGUAAGUUUUUUUUUCCUAACAAAAUAAAAAGGAAACCAAUGAAUGAGAUACCAAUCUCUCUUGAUCCACACAAAACAUGUGAAAGCAGCAACUUCCUUAGGAAACAAUAGUAAAUGAAAGCUGAUACAAUGGUAAAACAAGCUAGAUAUUUCCUGGAACCAAAUGAGUCUUUGUAACAUGACAGCGAAAAGUUAGCACAUACAUAAAAUGCAAGAGAGAGAGGAAGAGACUAAAAUAAGAGGAUGAAAAAGGUGAGGGAAUAAAACAACAAAGAAAUAUCUUGUUAUGCUAUUUGGGACAACAGACUAACAGGGCGACAGGAUGUAUUUUCUUCUAUAAAACUGAAAAAUGAAAUUGAUAUAUUAGCACCCUGAAGUUCUUAUUCAUUUUUAUAAGGAGGAAGGAAAAUAAGAAUGGAUUUGAUGAAGGCACUUGAGCAAGUCAACACAGUUUAAAUCAGAAUGUAACUUGCAGUGUACUGACUUCUUCCUGGUGCUUGCUCACAGGCAGUCUCGUAUCCUGUGGCCAAGCAAAGCCUGCAUUCAUGAGAAUACACUGAAUUUCAUUACAUUAUUGCAGAAAUAUUCAGGUGAGCACAUUUUUGAAAGCUCAUAAAGCUCAGCAGAUUGUGAAGCACAGGAAACAAUAAUCCUUGGGUAAGUCAUUCGUGUGUUGGUGCUGUAAAUUAAAGACUAAAAGCCAAAUUUGGGCCUUCUGAUUUAAGCACAAAGGAGGUCUCCACUGUUAGGUUGUGAACAGAAAGAUCCUCUUUCUUUUGCUGUUUACCAAUGUUUUCUGUCAUACUUCAUGCUGUGUGAAAAGUGUGUUAUACCUGGCUGUGUCAGUCUCAAGGGGAACAGGGGAUGGGCUAUGAUACCAGAGUCUCUCCAUGAUUUAUUGGUGUAAUUCAGAAUUUUAAAAGGAAACGCCCCCUGCUUUGGAAGAAAUGAUAGGGAAAACCAAUCUAAGAUCUCUAUCGCUGGUAAAGAGGGAAAAACCCCUUACAAGAGGUAAGUUAAUUGUAUAUUCCAGAUUGUUGUAAUGAUCAGAGCGGACUGACUCGCUCGCAGAAGGUAGGGUUGCAGCCUUUUUUAGUGAUAAAUUGCUAUAUUAUUUUUUAUUAUGUUGCUACUUCAGAUCAAAGAUGUAGACAUCAGUUGGAUCCUGCCAGUGUUUCCUGCAGUUCAUUUGAUGACUAUUGGUGACUAGUAUAACUGGUUUAUGACAACGAAAGUUUUCUGGUUUGUGUUGUUUUAGCUGAGGAGUGAUUUACUGGCUGUACAGAGAGGAGCAGGAUCCCACAUCCUCAGCGGAACGCGAGUUAAUAAUCUCUGGGAGGCAACGUACUGAUGAGAAAACAGGACAGCUUUUGCAUUGGACUUGUUUUAUGUUGGCAAAGGAUUUUACUAGCAACUUUCCACAGCAGGUAGUACGCUGGUAUUUAUAUCACUGCUUUUGUAGCUGGGUCCUGGCAGUUGCUUGAGUGCAGCAGAAACUGUUUGGCAAAUCUGUUGCAGGGCAAAUCUGUGCAGCAAAGCGUGAAAUAACCCUGUGUGAAAAGUCAGUCUGUAAGUAGUUUAACCUUUGAACUUCCUAAUCUGCUUGUGAAGGAAGAGAACACAAUAAAUAAACUAACAGAUUCAGCUGAGCAGUUACAAAUCUGGAAGUAGAAGCAACGGUUUUCCUAACACACCAGCUGUUAAUUCCCAGGCUCAUGACAACUCUUUAAUACUGAAAACACCAGCUCGAGAAGUUACUAUGAGCAGUUUUGGGGAAAGGCACAGUGCAUGUUCCCCUAGCAGCUUCAGUUUCCCUGCCUGAAACAUGAAACCCCUCAAGUCCUGUUCUCUGACUCUCUGUAACUCCUGGACAGGUGAGCAGGAGGAAUUGCUGGUCUCCUGGUGUCUGAAACACUUUAGAAACUGGAGCUUUUGUGCCAUGCACUGUUUAAUUUCAUACAGGGACAAAAGUCCUGCUGUGGACACCUUGAGUUUGAUCGUGACAAAGCUACAGAGCCUGAGAACAGCAUUUCAAACCACUAGCCUGACAGCUCCAUUUAGCCUUAGGUGUAUAGGUGUCCGGGUAGCCAAUUACAGCUGAACCAGCGUGGAUCCCAUUGCAUGUCAUGAUACUGCAGAACAGAAUUAAGCAUCUCAUUUAAGGCUGAAAGUCACCUCUGGUUAUGCUGAAGCUGAAAAAUUAAGUAUGAUAAUGGUC